rnacentral:rRNA from 1 species
AUUGAACGCUGGCGGCAGGCCUAACACAUGCAAGUCGAACGAGUGGCGGACGGGUGAGUAAUGUCUGGGAAACCGCCUGAUGGAGGGGGAUAAUUACUGGAAACGGUAUCUAAUACCGCAUACUAUCCGAUGUGCCCAGAUGGGAUUAGCUAGUUGGUGGGGUAACGCCUCACAAAGCCGACGAUCCCUACCUGGUCCGAGAGGAUGACCAGCCACACUGGAAAUGAGACACGGUCCAGACUCCAACGGAAGGCAGUAGUGGGGAUUAUUGCACAAUGGGCGCAAGCCUGAUGCAGCCAGGCCGCGUGUAUGAAGAGGGCCUUCGGGUUGAAAAGUACUUUCAGCGUGGAGGCGUUACCCGAAGAAGAAGCACCGGCUAACUCCGUGCCAGCAGCCGCGGUAAUAC